UUGUGCUAAGGUAGCAUAAUCAUUUGUCUUCUAAUUAAAGACUAGAACAAAAGAUUAAACAUUUUAAUUAAUAUAUUUUAAUUAAUAAAUUUAACUUUUUUUAAAUGUAAAAAAACAUUUAUAAAUAAGGAAGACGAUAAGACCCUAUUAAACUUAACUUUAGUUUAACUGGGGCAGUUAAUUAAUUAUUAUUUUAAUAAUAUUAUAAAUAUAAUAGAUCCUAUAAAAUAGAUUAAAUAAUCAAGUUACUAUAGGGAUAACAGCGUAAUAUUAAUUUAAAGAUCUUAUUAAAAUAAAAGAUUACGACCUCGAUGUUGAAUUAAUAACCUAUAUAGUUGCAAUUGCAAUAAACAAUUAUAGGAA
rnacentral:rRNA from 1 species